CGGAGCUGCAGUUAACGCUGCGCGCGUGAGGUGGCGAGGUGGCAGCCGCGCAUCCCGGCCCUGUGGCGUGUUGGGCGUGGGGGAGCGUCCUUACACGUUCCAGGGUGGCUUUUCCCCCACGUCCUCGCUUGGUUUCUGGAAAGGGGGAGGAAACGCUGCAGCUUCUACAGUACUUUUGCUUAAGACAAAGCCAGGGAUCAGGAAUCUCAAAAGAGCUGGGGGCAGAAGGUUUGAGCUGACCCCACCCCGGCUUUCCAUCGGAGCCGCGAGCGGCGCCGUUUCCUGAUGCUGGCUGUGCGUAGAGGCGGCCUUCCUGGGGGGAGGGGAGAACAAUGCCUCCUGAAAAGCCAAAAGUCGUGGAAUUUGGGGGCGGGGCUCGGGCCAAUUAAAGUGUAUUCGUGGAAAAUAAAUCGCAAGAUAGUGGCAGUGAUGAUCUUGGCGUUCAAUCGAUUGAUAUGACUUCCCAGCAGCGAACUGCACACUGCAGCGCGAAAGCAGGAAACUGGCAUUACGUCAGAAGACAGAAGAGACCCAAAUUGCAACGCAUUAUCACAGUGGGGAGAGGUCUGGGUGGGGACCUUCCAGGCUCACCUCAUACCAGGAAGGCAAAGACCUUCAUUCAAUCCUGCUAUCCUGUCAACUUCGAUAAACCUAGUCCCG
rnacentral:lncRNA from 1 species